CCCAGAUUUUAGGUUAACUUCUAAGUUGUAUCUAUUAAGUGUUUGGAAAACCCCCAGUUAAAGGAGAGUAAUGAUGUAAAAAAAUGCAUGUAUUACUGAGAUACCUGAGAUUACUAUUCAAAAUUCAAUGGUGGAUUUCUUGUACAGUCUGAAUCUAAGAAUAAGAGUGUAUAAUGUGAUGCAAAUAUCUUCUCCCUCUAACAUCAUUGACCUUUGGUAGGUGGAAAUCAAGAUAUUUGAAGUAUAUAUCAAGAUACAAGUAAAUUUUCCGAGUGAGAAGAUAGCUCACAGAGUAUGAUUAUUGACCCUUUGAGAUGACCAAGGGUCAUCCACACAUCUUCUCUGGCAAAUGGAAAAUAUAAAUAUGCCAGCUUCCCAUUUUAUCCUUGAACCUCACCUUCUGAUAGAGGCUGGCACUAGGAUGAGUCUCAGGAAAGAGUCAAAUUUUGUAUGAUAUUCUCCGAAAAGGAUUUGGGAAACUGUCAUAAGAUAUAAUCCCAGCUGAACUGGCACAAGGAAGCUGAGUUACUCUAUUUACAACUCUAAGAGGUAAUAAACAUAAAAAGUACUUGAAAGUUCUUUCCUCAUUUUUUCCUUCUCAUGAGCUCUUGCUGACUCAAGGAGGCUCUGACAAUUGGUUUUCUCAUCAGGCAGGAGGGAGUUGGGACCAUAGAAGUUCAGUAGGGAUUUAUUGAGAAACAGGUUUUGGGGAACCCCUUAUAUCACACCUACUUGGGGGGAAUUGGCUCUUACAUUGGAAAUAUGUAAACUUGGAAAUGUCCCUGGU
rnacentral:lncRNA from 1 species